GUUCCAGUGACCAUCUAGUAGAUGCAGCUUUGCCUGCUAAUGAGGUCAAAUCAUCAGAACUGAGUAUAAGGAAUGAACCAAAGGCUCCUCUUGGUUAGCAAAAUUCAAAGGAAUAUGGUUCCAGUGACCAUCUAGUAGAUGCAACUUUGCCUGCUACUGAAGUCAAAUCAUCAGAACUGAGUAUAAGGAAUGUUAUAGGAGAAACAAAGACUUCCGUAGCUUCUGGAAAUGAGCAUAUUGGGGAGAAGUGAUUCACGGAUGUCUUAUUAAUUGGUGAAACUUCUUAUAAGAAGAUGGAGUCCAAAAUAGUAAAGGAGCCACGCACAGUUCAACAAUGAGGCACCCAUCACCUAUUUCCAGUCCAGGCAAGGGAUAUGACUUACAAAUUAUUAU